rnacentral:lncRNA from 10 species
CUGGGAGGCAGAGGUUGCAGUGAGGCAGGAUCGCGCCAUUGCACUCCAGCCUGGGCAACAGAGCAAGACUCUGUCUCAACAAACAAACGACUCCUUUUGAGCUGGAGCCUGUCUUCUGGAUUUUGCUGGACAAUGGGGAGAGUUACCAGGAGGUGGCAGGAUAUUUAGGAUCAAGUUGUGUUUCCUUGCAGCUGUUUCAGGAAGGAAACCCUAGGAAAGCGAUUUUCAGAGAAACUAUUUUAGUCUUAGGCAAUAAUGUUGCCCUGUGGCAUGGCAAGGCCACGGGGAGGUGGGGAGGAGGAAGAAGACAGCUGUGGUGGGUGGUAGGUGUUUGGGAACAGGCUUUUUUAGUUUGUUCAAGCUCAAAUCAGCCAGAGUUCAAAGCAGCUGACACCAAGCAGGUCAUAAACACGAGUUACAAACUGCAUGGUCUGAAGUUUUCUCCCAGGCAAUCAAUCUUUAUUAAAUAUCUCACAUGUCCAAGGCUUGGUUUUGGGUGCUAGGGAGGCUGCAUGAGAUCCCUGCCUCCGACCUAGAUGAGGCUGCUGCACAGGCGAAAUACUACCUAGUAACACUAGACGGGAUAUGUGACAUGCUAAGAGGGGAGGAGAGACAGUAAUUGCAAUAGGAUUUGGGAGCAGUGUUUCCCAAGGUGUGAUCUUUGGAAUAUCUGUCCCUCAAAAUAUACUGAAAUUAAAAACUGCUCCAAGGGCCUCCAAAUUGGGGCAACCCCAUAUAUUAUAGGCUCCUUUUGGAGAUAUCCAGUGCAUAUGAGUAUCUUAAAGGCUCCAAGAAGUCUCAUAGAGACUUAUUAAAUUAUUAACCUAUUUACCUUUCAUAGCCUGAUUUCUGAUACUUAUUUACCCAUGAAACACCUCCUUUUUCUCUCCAGGAAACAGGGCUACCCGAUCUAUCGGUGUCCUAUGGAACCACACUGCCCCCUGUGGUCAGAACCACCUGGGAUGCAGAACAGCAAGGACUGCAAACUUGGGUGCAGAGGGCUUUCCUCCACGCAACCCAGGAAGCUCCGUGAUUGGCAAACUGCUCUGUCAGGAUCCAUCGAAUCAGCAAACAUAGGUGCCUCUAGGAUGCAAACCAGGGAACAGGACUGUUAUGUGGCUUGCUGGUAGCCAAGCAAAAUGCCCCGAUCCAUCAGGUUGGUGAGAGGCCGCUGAAUGAGACCCAGCCUCGUGUUUUGUGGGAUGAAGAGAUGCAGACAAAGUGACUCAGGACCAGAAGGCCCCCUCAGUACCAUCUGAGGACACCGCAGUAGUGCCUAUUAAAUAACAUCCAGACAAGGCAUGGCCCUUCAACUAUCUUAUGAAAUGAGAAACCACCACACCGGCCACGAAGCCGUUCACAUACACAUGUGCAGGGUGGAUGAGGAAAGGACAGAUGAGAAACUGGGACCAUACCAGGUGAUAACUGAGAACCAAACUCCCCAAAGCUCCCAGCACUGGACGACUCCAGAAAGGGUCUCAGCACCACAGGCUCUAAGAUGGAGUGACUGCUAGAGACAGAAAUCAUGGCAACAAGUAGAACAUUUUCUGUCCACAUCCAGAGGGAGAAGCCACAGGAGGAAAUACCUUGAAGCUUGUGGGACGUGCCUGGUGAGCCAACAAGAACUUGCUGAGUACAGGACGGACAAGGUUGGCAUUCCGCUGGCUCUACAGGGGAUCAACGGGAAGGAUGGAGAGAACAGCUUGUGUGCCAGGUGGGGAGACGGACAUGGACCAAUACUGAAUAACCUACAACACAAUGGUUUAGAAAGAGAAUUCAAGGUAUGUGGACUGGACUUAAGCCAUGGCUAAGCUCACAAAAGACUUCCUGGAAGAAGAUGUACAGCCUAUGGUGAGGCACAACCUCCCUGUCUGUACUGCGAGUUCUUGGGUCAAGACACAACUCACCUCUACCUAUCUGUACACUGACAGCAAAGUCCUUUUAAUAUCAAACAGAAAUGAAUGACAAUGAUGGUGACCACAUUUCCCAAACCCACGAACGGUCAGGUUUCUGUGGCGCCUCUCCAUUUGAGAGGCUCUCUGAAAGCCAGUCGUGGAUAGCAUGCUUCCAUGUGUAUGUAAAUAACAAGACAUAUGGAACAUGUUAAAUCGGAAGACUGUUCCAUAUCCAGAAUUACUAAUGUACUAAUAAUCCUUUGAAUCCUCAAAAAAAACAAAAAACACUAUACUUUUAUGCCAAAGUAGAUGGAAUGGGUGACUAGAGAUAAAGCUGAAGAAAUUUCAGAUUUAAAAUCUGACUGGCCCAUUCACCAGCAGACUUAGGAAAGUGCUAACUGCGAAGCUGGCCAGUAUUCAGCUCGACAGUCCUAAAAACAAACGGAACCCUUUGGAGCUGGAAAGUGGUAUCAUAAAAGCCGCCGAAUGCGGUGCUUCUAGAGCGGCCCACCAGGAAAAUAUGACAGUUUACAUCUUUACGUAGCCUAAUGUACAGUGGGAAUAUAAAUAUCUCGUUCAGGCCCCAGUCACUGCCUGGAAUGGGAUGCUUUCCUUAACAAGAAGCAGAUGAGAGGCCCAGAAGCCAAACCUCUUAUUCUGUUGGUCUGAAGGCUGUAGUUUUCAGUCGGUCAGCACAGAGAGUGGCAAUUCAGGGAGGGAAGGCACUGCAUGUGUUUCCUUGGUCAGGACAAAAGCUUGUAGCUCUUUUCCUGGGCCCCCUGAGGCUCUCGUACGUUGAGUGUCCCGCAUGUGGUCAGCGGCUUUACCCACCUUUCCUUGGGCCACCAGCUCCCUCUGGGCUGCUGAGGCCGAUUUGACCAGGGCGCUUGUGGCAGCAGCAAUGGAUUUAGCAGCUUCCAAGAUCUGUUCCUCAAAGUCCAGGGUCUCAUCCGCUUGCUAUAACCAAAAGAAAACAGCAUCACAUUCAAUUCAUAUCCACAAAGGGCUCUUUCUUCCAAACUACUUACUGCCGGGUCACCUGGCUCUUCACCUGCCUAUUGUUUUUUGUUGACAAACCACACCUGAAAUGGGAUGGUUCCUUAACAAGAAGCAGAUGACAGGUCCCCUGUGCAAACUUUCAGGACUCUUAAGUCAGUUUGGUUAAGCCACCCUCGGGUCACAGUGUGGAAGAUGUGGCUGGUACCUUUCAGGCAUUAAGAGACAAUGGCCAGGCACAGCAAUAGUUUUCUUUGUAUGUGUGGUACAAUAUAUAUAACACAAAAUUUACCCUUUUACCUAAUGUUAAGUAUUAAUACACUGACACUGUUGUACAACAGCAAUACCAGGAUAGAAAGGUCAGGAUGCCUCUCCACCUGCAGCCCCUUCCCCCUAACUCCAAAAGGAAAAAGCCGUUAGCUUGACAUCCCACGGAAAUUUGCAGACAGACUCAUUUUCUGGAACAAAAUCUUUAAAGAUAUACACUCACUGUGAACAAAAUACACUCAAAUGGUUUUAGCAACAUCAAUAACUGAAACCAAAAUAAUAAAAUCAAAACAGUAGAUCAUAGCACUUACUCUCUUCUAGAGCCUAAGCCUCAAAAAUGGACUUUAAAAAAAAAAAAAGGAAAGAUGGCUACCAGUUCUGAAAAGUUGUCUUUUUCCUGGGUAAAAAUCAAAGCCAAACAGCACUGGCAUUUCUGUGGCUGAGCACUGAGAGAGUUAUAGACCAAGCACACAUUGCCCAGUGGUGAAAAAGAAACCAGGGCAACACGACAUCAAGGUGGAGCUUGUUCUGUCCUCUGGACACCCGAGGCACGGGAUCCACCUUGGGAAGAACACUGGACACCACUGUGUAGGUGUUAUCAGACCAUUAGGGUUCUGGUCUAAAUUCACCACCAUCUCCUUUGCUGCUAAAACAACUCAGGAAGUUGAAAAGAAGCUUUGGAGAAGUGGAACAAGUAUAAAGACUGUGGUCCCAGGCUCAUGGGUUGGAGCAUCACAGUUUUGCCGGGGGGUGGUCAGAUUAGACCUGUGUGACAACAUUCCGUGACUCUAGGUCAAUUUGGUUAAGCUGCCCUCAGGUCACACAGUGUUGAAGAUGUGGGUGGUACCUUUCAGGCAUUGAGAGAUGAUGGCCAGGCCCAGCAAUACUUUUCUCUGUAUGUGUGGUAAAAUAUAUGUAACACAAAACUUACCCUUUUAUCCAAUUUUAAGUGUACAAUUCAGUGGCAUUACGGACAUUCACACUUUGUGCCAACAGUAGUAGAUUUUUAAGAGUGCCUACUGUGUACCAAGUAUUUUGUUAGGCACUUCUACAUACAAUGACUUAAUUCUCACCAAAAAAAAAAAAAAAGAUCGUAUAUUGGAAUUAUCUUUAUCCUUAUUUUUACAGUGAGAAAACCCAGGCUCAGGAAGGUAGAUGAUUGGGCCAAGGUGAUGUGGCAGCAUGAAGCAUCUAAACCAGAAUCUAAACCUAAAUCUGACUCCAAAAUGAGGCACUUUAACUAGCCAAAGCCACCCCUUGGGGCAUCAGUGAGAAACGGUUUGUGCCAGAGGUUCAAAGUCAGCUUGCUAACGCUCCCAUGUGAAACGUCAGACAGGAGGGAUACAAGUCUUCUCCAGCUCUCCAUUCAUAAUGCCACAUCUUGAACCAUGAAAGGUGCUAAUCCUUUUUCUUUAUAACCUACAUUAUCAAAAUACAAUUUCAAUGCACUUCUAAUGGAUCUGAAUGAUGGUAGCAUUUCAGAAGUUCUGAGACAGACUUGUGCAUUCUUUCUUAUUGCUGACCAAGUCUUGCUCUAAGAGUAUUCAGGACAGACAUGAAUUUAGUUCUACUGGACUCAUUUUGGACUGGUGGAGUAUAGAAUUUGGUGACUGAAAUACGGAAAUGAUCCAUUGUAAGACACUCUCGUAUAAAAGGAACUCUUGUGUAGUCAGUCCCCAAAUAAAUUAUAGUAGGCUCUAAUUUAUAUAUAUUAAAUAUAUAAAUAAUGUAUAUUUUAAUAACCGUGAGAUUAAGAGCUUUUCUGGAAAUUCAUUCUGCCAAAGAAUGUCAGGCACAUAACAGAUUAAAGCACCAGGGAAAUCACAGAAUUUUUGACUCCAAACUCCUCAUCUCAUUUUGCAGAUGAGGAAACGGAGGCUUGUGGGAGCUCUUCAUGGCGGCUCCUGAAGUCUCUCACGCUCUUGCCUCAGGUGUCCUCAGCUACUCUAUGGGUUCCACGCCCGAGUCCACUUUACAGUGUGGAAUACUCUGUCAGACUUUUUAUUUCCCAAAUUUUAAGAUUUUCAAAAAUGGAAUUUCUUUAAAAUUAAGUGCUACGUCUUUAGCAGGGGUAGAUCUGAUAGGAUCAUCUCAUCACAACUGAUUUUACGAGCCUCUCCCACAUCUUCCGCUGCCUGGAGUUUUUUUUUUUUUUAAACACAAGCUUGUAAUAAUAGAUAUUCAACUUGGAAAUAUUUUUGACACCCACAGAUUUUUCUGGUAAUGGCAACUGUUGUAAUGUUCUUUGACGAAUUUUUAUUUUUCUUCCCACAACAUCUCUAUGCUUUAAAACAGAUACGGCAGAAGUUCUUAUCUCUGGGAGACAUUUGCUCUGAUAAGAAAGUAUUAAGAUUCUCCCUAGAAAGGCUGACUGGGAUGGCACAGGGAUGGAGGGCUAAUGUUAGAUACUACAGUUUGGGCAGAGUACCCUGAUGAAACCUGCCUUCUGACUGCUGUGUCCCUAUUUUCCUGUAUGCCAGGUUUAUGACUAAGACGCACUGCCCACCCUACCUCUACUGCUGAAAUCAGACACCAAUACUUAACGUGUCCUCAUACCAUACAACUUCUAGCCUUAGAGAAAAUGGCAUCUCUCCAAGCCAAGGAGACAUGGUCAAAAACCCAGGUGCCCCAUCAGUUCCAGCUCCCAUUAGCAUGCAGAAUGGAAUAGGGGAGAAGGUAGGAAGGACACACACUUAACCAUAUCACAAGAAGGAAACAGAAUUGGCUUGGUCUUCAAAGGACUUUCCUAAAUAAAAGAAUCCCAAUUAAAAUGCAGAAUUUGUUAAUGGAACAGUCCCCACUGCAGCUGAGAGACUGGGGAGACUAAGAAGAACAACAUGGUGCACAGUGACUCCGGGGAAGAAUCUGCAGGCUGGGCCCUCUCCUGGAGCUCUCAUUCUCACCUUCUCACCAGAGAGGCUCACCUGGUUGGUGUCUUAAGGCCCUCUUUAGCUGAGAUGUUACUGACCUGACCAGGGUCAGUCAGAUCUCUCCUUCUGGUUUAUAAAGGGGAUAACGGAAUCCUCGCUUCUGGGUGUUUCAUUCUUUCCACAAUUGGAUCAUGUAAAGACCCGCUAAAAUAAUCUUUUAAAGAUUAUGACUAAUCCUGUGCAUGUGGCUAUUUAUGUUUCUCUAUAACUACUGGCAUCAAGCUAAAGCAAGGAACUUUAGAAAACAAUUUCAUUAAACAGGAUAAAUUGAUAGUCUUUAGCCAUAAAAAAGAGUGAGAUCCUGCCAUUUGCAACCACAUGGCUAGAACUGGAGAUCCUUAUGUUAAGUGAAAUAAGCCAGGCACAGAAAGACAAACAUUGUAUGUUCCCACUUAUUUGUGGGAUCCAGAAAUCAAAACAAUUGAACUCAUGGACAUAGAGAGUAGAAGGAUGGCUCCCAGAGGCUGGGAAGGGUAGUGAGGGGCUGGGAGGUAGGGAUGGUUCAUGGGUACAAAAAAAUAGAAUAAGACCUACUACAUGUGACAGCACAACAGGGUGACUAUGGUCAAUAACUUAAUUGUACAUUUUAAAAUAAUUAGAACAGUGUAAUUGGAUUGUUUGUAACACAAAGGAUAAAUGCUUGAGAGGAUGGAUACCCCAUUCUCCAUGAUGUGCUUAUUUCACAUUGCAUGCCUGAUAUUGUUUGGCUGUGUCCCCACCCAAAUCUCAUCUUGAAUUGUAGCUCCCAUAAUCCCCACAUGUCAUGGGAGGGACCUGGUGGGAGGUAACUGAAUCAUGGGGGCAGGUCUUUCCUGUGCUGUUCUCGUGAUAGUGAGUAAGUUUCAUGAGAUCUGUUGGUUUUAUAAAGGGGAGUUCCCCUACACAAGCCCGCUUGCCUGCCGCCAUAUAAGAUGUAUCUUGCUUCCCCUUCGCUUUCCGCCAUGAUUGUGAGGCCUCCCCAGCCAUGUGGAACUGUGAGUCAAUUAAACCUUUUCUUUAUGUAUCACCCAGUCCUGGGUAUGUCUAUAUUAGUUGUGUGAGAACAAGCUAAUACAAUGCCUGUAACAACACAUCUCAUGUAUUAUAUAUAUAUAAUAUAAUAUAUAUUAUAUAUAUAUACCUACUAUGUACCCUCAAAAACCAAACAGAAAAAAAUUUUAAAGAAAAAUAAAUAAAUAAAUAAAUAAAUGGAUAGCCCUCACUGCAGAAUCACCUGAGGAUCUGGUUAAAGAUGCAGAUGCUGUUUUGGUAGGUCUGGGGUGGGAGUCAGGAAUCUGUAUUUCUUACAGAGGUGGUUACACACUACUCUGUAGGAAAUGCUGGCCUGGACUCAGGAAAACAAACACCAUUUAACUUAAACCUACCAGCCUGUGAUCCCCUCCAGGGUGAGACUGUGUUUUAUUCAACCUAUGUUUCUCUAGCACAAAAUCAGGCAGAGGAGCCCAUGUGAUGAUCAACAUUUGCUGAAUGAAUAUAUCCAUUCAAAAUGCAUUUCCCAAGUUCCAGAGUUCAGCCAGAGCACAACGCACAAGGUAGGAGAAGGAGAAAUACACAGAGUAAGCAUCCACAUCAUUAGCAUCCACUCCUGAGCCCUGGUGGACAGAUGCAUACACAGCUAUGAGCAAGUUCCUGCCCUGUUUGAGGCCUUGAGUUGUUAAUUGUACACUCUACUUGCAGCCUUCAACUGGAAUUCACAGUUUGUGACAUUUAGUCAUGCAUGGACAUACAAAUGUAAACACAGUGGCAUUUUACCAAGAGGCACUCUUAUGUAACAAGACAGCACUGGGAAAAAGAGUGAACAGAUGUACAAACUAAGCUUCUACUCUGCCUAAUGAAGGUGUUUGUUGCUGCCUCUGCAUGCUGAAUUAACUUCUCCUUUGAUAUACUGUUCUUUUCCCCCUUCCCCUUCAUUUGAAAAGGCUAUUUGGCCAGGUGCCCAUCAGCUCUAAGCAAUCGUCUUUCCUGGGCUGUCUGGCCAACUCUUGCUGAGGACAGAUUUAUCCCUACCUGGGCUUUUUGGUAGCUUCUAGAAAGGUCUGAGUACCCUGUAGUUGACCUCUUCCCUGCAUGCUGACCUUCCUUGCUCACCCUUUAAAAAGUCAGUGGUCUGGUGAGAUCCCUCUUGGGAAAGGCUAUAUAUUGGGUUGGCUCCCUUCCCCUGUUUCCCAGUUGGGAGAGUAUUUGGGACCCCUUUAUGUUGCUCUGAUGGGUUUAAAGUUUCAGUAGCUAUAUGUCCCCUGGAAGAGGAAAUGGUGGUGGUAGGGGAAGUGGUGUGGAAAGUGGAGAAGGUAAAAGGGACAGCCUUUCCUCAUGUUUCUUUUGACAUUUGGCCUUUCAUGGAUUCUGAGAACAUGGUCUUCACACUAAUUCAUUCAUCUUCUAAGCCUACUUCCCCUCCUAACCUAUCUGAUGGAGUCAUUACAAGCACGUGAUUAGUAUAUGUAAAGCAUGGCUGACUCAUAGGAGAUGCUCAAAAACUAUUAGCAAUUUCAUUAUCAAAAAUUGUUUUUUUCAGGUUUGGGGCUAAAUUAAUCUGUUUCUCUGUCUAAACCCUGUUAUGUAUCCAUAAUUCCAAUAAAAAUUCUUCUUGCUAUUUCUGAUUACAGCCUAAAUUCAUUAUAAGUAAAACCCACAAAUCAGUAAGCGUCAGGUACCAAACAGCAUAGAUGGGCACCAGCUCCUCUCUCAGCACCCAACCAGGAGUGGGACAAUCCGGGUGGUAGUCACUGUUCUGUACUUUGACUAUGUGACUGUGGAGUCUUCGCUGCCCUUUCUCCAGGUAUCAGUUACUCAGUUUUCUGUCACUGGAGGAGCAACUCAACCUUCCUGGUCCUUUUGCCUAGACAUGGACAGUUCCAAAUUAAACUUCUCUUAGAAG